rnacentral:lncRNA from 1 species
AAGACUCUCCCAAAGCCUUAACAUACAAUCUCUGAAGAUCUUGCCAUGUCUUUGCACAAGUACCAACUCAACUCAUCACCUUUGCUUCUCCACUUCUUCUCUUCAAGUUAACACUCCCCCUCAAGCUUGACUUUAGCUGAUCCUAAGUCAAGCUUGGAACCUUGAAGAACUUCCUCAUUAAAAACCUCACCAAGGAAAACCCUUUGGGACAAAACCUUGAUGAGGGAAAAAGAGUAAAGUCUCCAAGGCCUAGGGAUUGGCCAGUGAGUCUUUGUGCCUUACCAACAAUGUAAGGGACACAAAGACUCUGGAUCAUGGCCUCUACAAUUAUCCCACGCCUUGUACUCUCCUUACUGCCUAAUCUUGGUCUCUCCCCCUUUCACCUAACCUCUUGUUAGGUUGAAGUGCUCGGACACACCAGAUCAGCUUCUUCUUGGAGAUACAACUUCUUCUUACUGAGUCUUGGCUGCUUCUUCUUCUUCUAGAGUAACCACCAAGCUCUCUUGGAUCAUGUAAGCUUCAACACUCCCCCUCAA